CCCAUCAUCAACCUGCCCCUAAAAACCCAACUAGGGUUCCACUAUAAAUCUUCGUCAUCCACCAAACAACACAAGCUCCCAACCGCCGCCGCAUUCAUUCACUCGUUACCUUUGGAAGUGUGAAAAACAGCCGGCGUAGCAAUGAGAGCUAAGUGGAAGAAGAAGAGAAUGAGGAGGUUGAAGCGGAAGCGUCGAAAGAUGAGACAGCGAUCCAAGUAAAUCAACGAAGGCUUUUGCUCCGAGUCGCUCCGUCGCCUCUUCCGGUGUCGCUUUACUGUUUCGAUUUAUGUUUUCUAGCUGUUGUCUCUAAUUUCUGUAGUUGUUAUGGUUCGACUUGAGUACAUUUGGUUAUGGAGUUUUGUUAAAACCCUAACUUAUUUUGGAGACGGUUUGUUGAUUUUAUCGACAUUCAAUUGAAUGGAUUAUUUCAGUUUAUGAAUUCGAUUAAGAAAUUAUCAUC